UGCGGAAGGAUCAUUACGAAAUUCGGCGCGCUUCGGCGCUGCCUUAUUCACCCACCCUUUGUCUACGUGUACCUCUAUAGCUUCCUCGGCGGGCUCGCCCGCCGCCAGGAACCCACGAAACCCCUUGCAUUAUACACGAAAACUUCUGAUAACAAACCUAAAUUAUCACAACUUUCAACAAUGGAUCUCUUGGUUCUGGCAUCGAUGAAGAACGCAGCGAAAUGCGAUAAGUAGUGUGAAUUGCAGAAUUCAGUGAAUCAUCGAAUCUUUGAACGCACAUUGCGGCCAUAGGUAUUCCUUUGGCCAUGCCUGUUCGAGCGUCAUUUACACCCUCAAGCCUAGCUUGGUGUUGGGCGUCUGUCCCGCCGUUUUCGCGCGCGGACUCGCCUCAAAGUCAUUGGCGGCGGUCGUGCCGGCUCCUCGCGCAGCACAUUUGCGCUUCUCGGAGGCCCGGCGGAUCCGCGCUCCAGCAAAGA
rnacentral:rRNA from 1 species